AACGAACGCUGGCGGCGUGCUUAACACAUGCAAGUCGAACGGAAUUAGGGGCUUGCUCCUAAUUUAGUGGCGCACGGGUGAGUAACGCGUGGAUAACCUACCCUGGUAUCUGGGAUAACAUCUCGAAAGGGGUGCUAAUACCGGAUAAGCCCACGGUCUCUUCGGGGAUUGCGGGAAAAGAUGGCCUCUAUUUAUAAGCUAUCGUAUCAGGAUGGGUCCGCGUACCAUUAGCUAGUUGGUGGUGUAAUGGACCACCAAGGCGACGAUGGUUAGCUGGUCUGAGAGGAUGAUCAGCCACACUGGAACUGAGACACGGUCCAGACUCCUACGGGAGGCAGCAGUGGGGAAUUUUGCGCAAUGGGGGAAACCCUGACGCAGCAACGCCGCGUGAGUGAUGAAGGCCUUCGGGUCGUAAAGCUCUGUCAGUGGGGAAGAAGUGUAUGGGUGCUAAUACCAUCUAUACUUGACGGUACCCACAAAGGAAGCACCGGCUAACUCCGUGCCAGCAGCCGCGGUAAUACGGAGGGUGCAAGCGUUGUUCGGAUUUAUUGGGCGUAAAGCGCGUGUAGGCGGUCUUUUAAGUCUGAUGUGAAAGCCCCGGGCUCAACCCGGGAAGUGCAUUGGAAACUGGGAGACUUGAAUACGGGAGAGGGUAGUGGAAUUCCUAGUGUAGGAGUGAAAUCCGUAGAUAUUAGGAGGAACACCGGUGGCGAAGGCGGCUACCUGGACCGAUAUUGACGCUGAGACGCGAAAGCGUGGGGAGCAAACAGGAUUAGAUACCCUGGUAGUCCACGCCGUAAACGAUGAGUACUAGGUGUUGCGGGUAUUGACCCCUGCAGUGCCGCAGCUAACGCAUUAAGUACUCCGCCUGGGAAGUACGGUCGCAAGACUA
rnacentral:rRNA from 1 species